GGUAGUAUUAAGUUGGUGCAAAAGUAAUUGUGGUUUUUGCCAUUGAAAAUAAUGACAGAAACCUCCGUUUCUUUUGCACCAACCAAAUAA
ensembl:miRNA